UCGGAUCUCGGACGAGAGCCUGCAAACCCUAGUCCCGCUCGCUUCACUCUUCUUGCCCGCGGCAGGCCCAAAAUCCAGUUCCCCUCUCCCAUUCCCACCGCCGGCCGGCCGCCACAUCCGCGCCAAUGGCCUCGCCUUCGCCUCCCCCCACGCCGCCCACCGCCGACGAGCCUCCGCCUCCGCCUACUCCUGACGGAGAUGCCCCCUCCCCGCCCACGGACGCCGAAUCCCCCCCGCCGCUCCCGGAGGCCGACGCCCCUGCCGCGCCGCCCCCGGACGCCGACGCCGACGCCCCGCCUCUGCAGCAGCCGCACCUCCCGGACGGCAUCCUGGAGGACAUCUUCCUGCGGCUCACGACGGCAGCAGACGUCGCGCGGGCGUCGGCCGCCUGCGCCUCCUUCCGGGCCAUCACGUCGGCCCUCCCGUUCCGGCGCCGCUUCCGCGCGCUCCACAGGGCCCCGGUGCUCGGCUUCCUCCGGGAGGACUUCUACGCGGCGCGCCCGCCGCACCCAUCCGCCCCGGCCGCGCGCGCCCUCGCGCGGGCAGCCGACUUCGCCUUCUCCUUCCUCCCCGACGACGCCGCGUGCUGGAGCCCCCGGGACGCGCGCGACGGCCGCGUGCUCUUCUCCGCCGUGCCCAGCUCCCACGGCCGCGGCAGCUUCGCCGACGCCACCUCCACCACCUUCGUCGACCUCGUCGUCGCCGACCCGCUCUCCCGCCGCUGCGUCCGCGUCCCGCCCGUGCCCGACGACCUGGCGGCCCCCGUUCUGCGGUGGGGCAUGCUCGACUUCGAGCCCUUCCUCGCGCCGGCCAGCGCCGAGGACCUGCGCGACGAGGGCGCGCCCUUCAGGGUCAUCGGCAAGGUGCUGUGCGAGGACAGGGUCGCCGUGUUCGCCUUCUCCUCGCGCACCGGUGAGUGGCGCAGCCACGGCUCGAGCGAGCUGUCCAACGACUUUGCGCUGGACGCGCUGUAUGAGCGGCGCCACUAUGUGCAGGGCUGCUUCUGCUGGCUGUUGGAGUGGAUGGAGAAGCUGCUCAUGCUCGAUGCUGGUGCGAUGGAGUUCUCCAUCGUGGACCUCCCGCCCGGCAACGACGAGCGGCGGUUCGCCAUUUUGGAGGCAGGGCAAGGCAGGAUUGGGCUGCUAAAUAUUGGGAGGAACACAUUGGACUUGUACUAUAAGGCCUGGCCAGGCAAACGCAAUGGAGAGUGGCAACACGAAACGAAAGAGCACCCACUGCCUGACUAUCACUGGCGCAUCAUAGGUUCUGAUGAGGAGUACUUGCUCCUGAGAGGGAUUUCACUUGAUUGGCCCUGGUUCGGGAGCGCUUCAUCGGAGAGUCCGGAUAUUGAGUAUUUUGCACUGGAGCUCAAGGCAUUGCAACUCGAGAGGAUGUACGUGUCCAAGCACAAAAUGUUGCAUGCUCACCUGUAUAGGGGCUACCCGCCGCAGAUCUCGGCACCAACUCUAUGAACUGUGGUUUCAGGUUUACAACAUUGCUAUCACUUUUACAUCGCUGCCAUACAGCAGGUUACAUAUCCUUCGCCCUUGAAUGUGGAGAAGUGGCUACAAAACUGUGAGCAGAGCACAUUGAAGGACACAAAGUUCGAGCACAUUGAAGGUUACAUAUCCUUUGUCCUGUGUAUUGCCGCUGGAGAAGUGGUGAAUGAGUUGGUGUGGUUGUCUGACGGCAAGAAGCGUGUCAGUGGAGGCCGGAAGUUUGCCGCUGGCGGCAGAUGGUGGAAGUCAGGAUGGCCGCUGCGAAGGGAUGCCCAACCUUAUGUGCCAGUUGGGCGUUAUCGGGCGCCAGCGAUCUUUCUUGAGCUGCGUCUUGACCCACAGUUUGUCUACAUCGACUUACGUUGGCUGUUUUCUGGCUUAGGUCAUUCUAUAUAUUCUUGCCAUCCCAAAGCAUGUUUUGGAGAGUCCGCUUUGGCGCCGAAGUUUGUAGCAAUUUGCAGGAUACUAGAUCCAACUUGACAAAUGUGGCAACCCUGGUUUUUCUCCCCACUGCUGGCAGCAUGUGAGACCAGCUCAGCUGAUGAGCUAACAUUGAGAGAGUUUAUGGCCAGUUCAGUGGGUGGUGGCUCUGGUUUCUUUCUGACCUGGUGCAGUGGAGGCUGUUUAUUCAUGGCCAGAGUCCCAACUCCACCAAGUCACGGAGAUGACCUUUUGGUAGCCAGCGUGUAUGCAUGUAUUAGAGUAUGUAUUAUGUAUGUAACCUGGAUGGCCUAUGGCCUCGUUGUAUCUUUUUGUUGUUGUUGAGAAACAACCUUGUUGUAUCUUUUUGUUGUUGUUGAGAAACAGCCUUGUUGUA